ACAUGCGGCCACAUCACCGAGGGUCACCGCUUCCCAUUCGAACAACGAAGUUACUAUUAAUUCGGUCGAGCCCAGGCAGUACUUCCAUCCGGGAGGGGGAGGGAAGGCUGAGUGCUGCAUGUC
rfam:Emiliania huxleyi CCMP1516 EMIHTscaffold_8_Cont444, whole genome shotgun sequence.